AUAGCCUCUGGCUAUAGGAAAUUGUUAGUGGCAGACGGGUGAGUAAUGCGUAGGAAUCUACCUAGUAGUACGGAAUAGCCAUUAGAAAUGGUGGGUAAUACUGUAUAAUCCCCGAGGGGGAAAGAUUUAUCGCUAUUAGAUGAGCCUACGUUAGAUUAGCUAGUUGGUGAGGUAAUGGCUUACCAAGGCUAUGAUCUAUAGCUGGUCUGAGAGGACGAUCAGCCACACUGGAACUGAGAUACGGUCCAGACUCCUACGGGAGGCAGCAGUGGGGAAUAUUGGACAAUGGGCGAAAGCCUGAUCCAGCUAUGCCGCGUGAGUGAAGAAGGCCUUCGGGUUGUAAAACUCUUUCAAUAGGGAAG
rnacentral:rRNA from 1 species